rnacentral:rRNA from 1 species
ACGUAGGGUGCAAGCGUUGUCCGGAAUUAUUGGGCGUAAAGAGCUCGUAGGCGGUUUGUCACGUCGGAUGUGAAAACUCGGGGCUCAACCCCGAGCCUGCAUACGAUACGGGCAGACUUGAGUACGGCAGGGGAGACUGGAAUUCCUGGUGUAGCGGUGAAAUGCGCAGAUAUCAGGAGGAACACCGGUGGCGAAGGCGGGUCUCUGGGCCGAUACUGACGCUGAGGAGCGAAAGCGUGGGGAGCGAACAGGAUUAGAUACCCUGGUAGUCCACGCCGUAAACGGUGGGUGCUAGGUGUGGGGAACAUUCCACGUUCUCCGUGCCGCAGCUAACGCGUUAAGCACCCCGCCUGGGGAGUACGGCCGCAAGGCUA